AUUGAACGCUGGCGGCAUGCCUUACACAUGCAAGUCGAACGGCAGCACGGGAGCAAUCCUGGUGGCGAGUGGCGAACGGGUGAGUAAUAUAUCGGAACGUGCCCAGUCGUGGGGAUAACGUAGCGAAAGCUACGCUAAUACCGCAUACGAUCUAUGGAUGAAAGCGGGGGAUCGCAAGACCUCGCGCGAUUGGAGCGGCCGAUAUCAGAUUAGGUAGUUGGUGAGGUAAAGGCUCACCAAGCCGACGAUCUGUAGCUGGUCUGAGAGGACGACCAGCCACACUGGGACUGAGACACGGCCCAGACUCCUACGGAGGCAGCAGUGGGGAAUUUUGGACAAUGGGCGCAAGCCUGAUCCAGCAAUGCCGCGUGCAGGAUGAAGGCCUUCGGUUGUAAACGUGCUUUUGUUACGG
rnacentral:rRNA from 1 species